AGCAGCCGCGGUAAUUCCAGCUCCAAUAGCGUAUAUUAAAGUUGUUGCAGUUAAAAAGCUCGUAGUUGAAUUUCGGGAUCAAUAUGUCUGUCGUGCCUUCGGUACGUACGGGUAUAAUUGGUUUCUACCUUCUGAUGAACCUUGAUGCCAUUAAUUUGGUGUCUUGGGGACUCAGGACUGUUACCUUGAAAAAAUUAGAGUGUUUAAAGCAGGCAUGCGCUUGAAUACAUUAGCAUGGAAUAAUGAAAUAGGACGUUCGAUUCUAUUUUGUUGGUUUCUAGGAUCGACGUAAUGAUUAAUAGGGAUAGUUGGGGGCAUUAGUAUUCAAUUGUCAGAGGUGAAAUUCUUGGAUUUAUUGAAGACUAACUACUGCGAAAGCAUUUGCCAAGGAUGUUUUCAUUAAUCAAGAACGAAAGUUAGGGGAUCGAAGACGAUCAGAUACCGUCGUAG
rnacentral:rRNA from 1 species